GAUGAACGCUGGCGGCGUGCUUAACACAUGCAAGUCGAACGGAAAGGCUCCUGCUUGCAGGGGUACUCGAGUGGCGAACGGGUGAGUAACACGUGGGUGAUCUGCCCUGCACUUCGGGAUAAGCCUGGGAAACUGGGUCUAAUACCGGAUAGGACCACAUUUUGGAUGGUGUGGUGGAAAGUUUUUCGGUGUGGGAUGAGCUCGCGGCCUAUCAGCUUGUUGGUGGGGUAAUGGCCUACCAAGGCGUCGACGGGUAGCCGGCCUGAGAGGGUGUACGGCCACAUUGGGACUGAGAGACGGCCCAGACUCCUACGGGAGGCAGCAGUGGGGAAUAUGGCACAAUGGGCGCAAGCCUGAGGCAGCGACGCCGCGUGGGGGAUGACGGCCUUCGGGUUGUAAACUCCUUUCGCUAGGGACGAAGCGCAAGUGACGGUACCUGGAGAAGAAGCACCGGCUAACUACGUG
rnacentral:rRNA from 1 species